rnacentral:rRNA from 1 species
CAAUAGCGUAUAUUAAAGUUGUUGCAGUUAAAAAGCUCGUAGUUGGAUUUCUGGUGGGAGUGUUUGGCCGGCUCAAUGAGUCUUGUGCCUAUAUGCUUCUGCCAUCCUUGGGGAAAACUUGCUUGGCAUUAGGUUGUCGAGUUUGGGAUCCCCAUCGUUUACUGUGAAAAAUUAGAGUGUUCAAAGCAGGCUUAUGCCGUUGAAUACAUUAGCAUGGAAUAAUAAGAUAGGACCUCGGUGCUUAUUUUGUUUGGUUUGCGCACAGAGGUAAUUGAUGAACGAGGGACAGGUUGGGGGUAUUUGUAUUUCGAUUGUCAGAGGGUGAAAUUCUUAGAUUUACGAAAGACAAACUACUGCGAAAGCAUUUACCAAGGAUGUUUUCAUUGAUCAAGAACGAAAGUAUGGGGAUCGAAGACGAUCAGAUACCA